CCCCUGGAGGACUAGUGGUUAGGCCACUGUUCGCUCACCGCUGUGGCCUGGGUUCGAUUCCCGGCCGUUGGU
rnacentral:tRNA from 1 species